UAGGGAAUCUUCGGCAAUGGGGGGAACCCUGUCCGAGCAACGCCGCGUGAGUGAAGAAGGUUUUCGGAUCGUAAAGCUCUGUUGUUAAGGAAGAACGAGUGUGAGAAUGGAAAGUUCAUGCUGUGACGGUACUUAACCAGAAAGGGACGGCUAACUACGUGCCAGCAGCCGCGGUAAUACGUUGGUCCCGAGCGUUGUCCGGAUUUAUUGGGCGUAAAGCGAGCGCAGGCGGUUAGAAAAGUCUGAAGUGAAAGGCAGUGGCUCAACCAUUGUAGGCUUUGGAAACUGUUUAACUUGAGUGCAGAAGGGGAGAGUGGAAUUCCAUGUGUAGCGGUGAAAUGCGUAGAUAUAUGGAGGAACACCGGUGGCGAAAGCGGCUCUCUGGUAUGUAACUGACGCUGAGGCUCGAAAGAGUGGGGAGCGAACAGG
rnacentral:rRNA from 1 species